rnacentral:rRNA from 1 species
UACGUAGGGGGCUAGCGUUGUCCGGAAUCAUUGGGCGUAAAGCGCGUGUAGGCGGCUCGGUAAGUCCGCUGUGAAAGCCGGGGGCUCAACCCUCGGAUGCCGGUGGAUACUGUCGGGCUUGAGUACGGAAGAGGCGAGUGGAAUUCCUGGUGUAGCGGUGAAAUGCGCAGAUAUCAGGAGGAACACCAAUUGCGAAGGCAGCUCGCUGGGACGUUACUGACGCUGAGACGCGAAAGCGUGGGGAGCAAACAGG